UCCCGUAAUAUCAAGAAAUGGGAAUCACUCUUCUUUUCCUAGAUGAAAAGAGAUCUGUGAUCCACUGAUCCAUCGUUACGGACGGAUGGAUCACUACCGUCCCGGUUCCAUCGUCAAAGUUGAUAGGUUUUGAAGUUGAAAGAUGUUUAUCUGUUUAUAGCCUCUUACAAAGACUGGUCGUUGUCUUAUACGUCGGAUGCAGAAGGAAGUUGGACAAAUUUGGCACUUCUCUCUCUCUUGUAACAAAUAUGUUUCUCCCAACAUUACAGAUGUGAUCAAGUACAAAGGUAACAUCCUCACCCAUAAAAUAGGGGAACACGUUAUUCUUGGAUAUAUAUUAACACUUUUCAAACUUUUUUAAAAGUACCAUGUUGAACUAUACUUGCAACUACGGCAACGAUAGUGACAUAUGUGGUCUUCAACAGGGAGAUGACCAAGCUCACUAAGCAAGAUGCUUCUGCUCUGGCUCUUGAGGGAGUUCAUCUUUUGGUUUUACACUUCAUUUAACCCAUGUUUAGAACUGUAACAAGCACUAAUUGUUUCACAAACGUACUAUAGAUAAAUGGCGGUGGUGGGCAAGAACUACCAAGAUGUCUUUAAAAGCUUGCUGGCAAAGAAUACUUUUCUCAGAUACGUGCCACUCCAUACAAUUUUAUCCCAAACCACCGUGUCUGGGUCUGCAGUCAGUGACACAGAGAGUACCAGCAGCUUCAAAGCUCCAGUUAUUGGAGGGAAAGGUCGAGAAGCUACAGCUUCUGCAACCAACACGGUUCCAGCGGCGAAGAUAGAAAUCAGAGGCGAUGAAGCAAAUCCGGCAGGUUUUGAAGGCAAAUAUAAUAGCCGCAAACAACCCUAAGUGAUACUUCAGCAAUGUCCCAUAUAUAAAGGCAGCGUUGACAGGAUGUUCAAAACUAAAUGCAUCAUUUCAUGUUUACAUAGAAACAUUGAACUCGCGUAUACAUGCAUUUUGGCUAACUUAUUAUAAAUGUAAGUAAACUAUUUAGUUUUAAAUGAAUAUUAGAUCUUGACCCGCACAAUCGCGCGGAUAUUUGUUUUCAUUUUUAUCAUUAAUAUCAUAUAUUCUUAAUAUUCACUAUGUUUUAAAUAUUUAUAUAAUUUUCUCAAAUACAAUAAUGUUUUAAUUUGCAUAUUUGUCAUUCUAUCAAUUGUUUCAAACCAAUCAAAUUAAUAUGAUUUUUCCUAUUAUUAGUCAUCUUCUCUCGUCUUUCUUUUUGAUCUCUAAUCUAACGAUCGAUUCUCCAACCCUAAAAAAUAGAAGCAAUACUGUGAAGAUGAUUACUUAGUUCUGAACAUAGAACGAUUUUAUGUCUGUCGGUAAUCCCUAUGGACGUGAGUUAAUACUCUUAUGGUAUUCAGUCAUGUGUUUGACUUAUUAACUCACGUAUUACAAAGCAAGAAGAACUAUACACAAUAAAUGUAUAGCUUUAUAGAUGAACUGUUUAUAGAUGAACUAUAAAUGAAAUAACACAAUUGUUAAUCGUAUAUUAAUACCAUCAUAAUCUCAUUCCUAUCAUUGUACAAUAGUUUAGAUGUUUUAUUCAAACAAAAGUUAGUUAUAAAUAGAAGGGAAACGAUAUAGAGCUAUAUAUAUUGUUAAGAUUUUAUUAUGUAAAUACACAAAUAUAAUGUAAAACAAUUUUUUAAAGAGAUCCAUUUUAAAAUAUCACACAUGAAAGAAAUCAUGAUUUCUAUUUUAAUAGAUAAGAUUAUUAAUAAGGGUCCAUGUAACCCACUGAACCUUAAAAUUCAUUUGGUACUAAAGAUCUUCUACAACCAAGUGACAUCAGAGCCUAUUUAGUGUUUUCAGAUGCAGCCCACAAAUUUUACCAUGAAAAUUAUGGAUUUGAAACAGUUCCAUUGCAAUAGAAGUUGUAAUUUAAAACCAAAUAAAAACUGAGAUAAGCACAACCAACAACUUAACUAAAUUUAAACUUACACAAUAAUAUAUUAAAAAGAUUUGUAAUUUUAUAAUUUUAUAAAUUUCUAGAGCUAUUAAUUUUAUAAACAGUUUAUUAUAAUUAUAUAUUUUUAAAUUAAAUUUGGGUUUGUUCAAAAAAUAAAUAAAAUAAAUUUGGGUAAAAUAAGUAAAAUAAUUUAAUUUAAUGUUCGUAUACAUUGUUAAAUUUUAAAAUCCAAAUUUUAUAACUUUUUCUAUACAUUAUUUGAUUUAUAUACUACAACAACUGAGUAAACAUAAACAAAUCCCAUAGAACUCAAUUUUUGAACAUGAAAGGCGCUAAUAAAGUUAAUGGUCGAUCAAAUCACUACAAACAUGGGUAAAAUAUCCCUAAUACCCUUGGUUUAAAAUUAAAUAAACAAACAAAAAUAAAUAAAUAAAUAAAUAAAUAAAAAA